ACAAAGGAGCCAUCUGGCCAGGCAGGGGCGGGUGCAGGCUCAGCCCCUCGGUGUCCCAGGCAGCUAGGGGGUGGGGUGCUGUCUGCACAGGCAGGCUGAGCUUAGGACCGAGGCCCCUCUCUGCAGCCUGGUACAGGCAGUGUCCACAUAGCCCAGGACUUCUCCACCUCAGCACUAAUGACACAUAGGGGCAGAUGAUUCUCGGGAGCGGGGCGUGAGGCUGUCCUGUACAUUGUAGGAUGUUGAGCAGCAUCCCCGGCCUCUACCUAUUAGAUGGCGAUAGCAUCCCCCGUCUCAAAUUAUGUAAGGCAAAAAGAUUUUCAAAUGUCCCCUGGGGACAAAAUCAACCCGAGUUAAGAGCCACUGACUGAGACCGGCAGCUCUCUCUCCUCACCCACCAGUUCCCAUGUUCCAUGCUUUUCCUGGGUAAUGAACCCCCGUCAGGGCCCAGGAGCUGACUGCAGCAGCUGCUUCAUGUACAUCUCACUGCAUCCUCCCACCAACGCUGUGAUGUGGAGGUGAAGAAGAUCUCCAUUUUACAGGAGAAGAAACGAAGACCUGGAAAGCACUGAUGACUUCAGGUUGCAGCCAGCCAUCAGGGAGCCAGCAAUAGAUGCAAGGAUUGGAGGACUCUGAGGCUAAUAUGGAGUAGAAUGCUCAGUAAAUGCCAGCUGCAGUGGGGUGGCCAUCCCAGGGGAUGAUGCCCCAGUGCCCAGGUCCUCUGUGCAAGUUCAUCCCAAGCUGUGCCAUCCCUUCCAAAUCCUUCACAAGCCAGAUGCAGGAGCGAAUCUUGUCACUGAGUUGCAGUCAUGGCCUAAGGGUGUUUCAGGAUAAACAGAAGAAGCAGAGGACAGCUGAUCUGGAUGUGUUGCCUCCCCCACUAACAUUAUUGUUACCCUCUUGGAAUUAGAGACCAUGCCAGCCUGUAUCUCCUCCUUCCUCUCUGUCCUGUGCAGAGCUGAGUGUGUCCUCAAUGUUUACAUAAAAUGCCAUAAAUCAUGGAAUCUUUAAGCACAAGAGACCUCAGAGGCCAACUCCAAGCCACAAACAAGGAACCCUGAAUCGAAAGGGAAUCUAAAGCUUCAGGCAAAGAGAGAGGAGAUUGGAUGGUGUGUCAAGCACAGUGCUACCCCCUUUAUAGGCAUGGCAUUGAGGUAGGACAUGGGACUUGACUCUGGAGGCAGGGCUCAGGUACGGGACCAAACUGAAGACUAGCUAAAAUAGGGACAGGGUGAAAACACCUUUCCAUAGGAAAUGCCUGUCAGUGUGCCAUGUCAGUUUAUCAUUGCCAUGGCAACACCUGGAAGUUACUGCCCCUUUCCAUGGCAACAACCCGAUGACUGGAAAGUUUCCAACCCUUUUCUAGAAAUUUCUGCAUAAUGCACCCUUUAAUUUGCAUAUAAUUAAAAGUGGGUAUAAAUAUGACUGCAGGACUGCCUCUGAGCUGCUACUCUGGGCACAUUGCCUAUGGGGUAGCCCUGCUCUGCAAGAAGAAGUACCUCUGCUGCUGUGGUACACUGCCACUUCAAGAAAAGUUGCUAACACCACUGGCUAGCCCUUGAAGCCCUUGAAUUAUUUCCUAGGCAAAGCCAAGAACUCUCGCAAGCUAAACCCCAAUUUGGGGGGCUCACCUGCCCUGCAUCAGCGUAAUUUAAUACUCACAGCUACCCUCCAAAGCCAGCAUCAUGAUACCCACCUGAGAGGUCAGAAAACCGAGACACGGAGUGAUGGCGGCUGACUCAGUUCCCCUAGCUGGGACUCACAGCUGGAUGCAAGCUGCCUAACCUGAGGCUUCAGGCUCUAUCCACAGUCUGCAGGCAUACUGACUGGCCUCUGUUUAUGCAUCUGUGAAAUGGGGAUGAUGAGGGCAAGUAUUCAUACUAUGCCCCACCCAGCAGGCUUCAGGCAAUGAGGAACUAUAAGCAUGGAUGUGAAUGUGUUCUGGACAUGGAAUGGAUGAUACAAAGAGAAUGGAUACUCAGGUGCCCAGAGAGCCCUGGCUUUGUUCCUGGAAGUGGUCAGAUAAAAAAACCAAAAAAAAAAAAACAGUUUGGAUGUGGAGUCAGGAAGAACUAGGUUCAAAUAUUACCUUUUCCACUUAAUCAGUGCCUGACCUUUGGCAGGUAACUCUACCAACCCUUCCACCCGCCUUUUGUAAAUAUUCACAGAGUGAGGGUCAUGUGCAAGAUACAGAAGUCAGUCUGGAUUCAAAUAGGCUCUGCUGGGGUGACAUGUAGGAAUCUGCACAAGUGAUUUGUCAUCGUCACCAUCAUCAUCACUGAGGCACAGCACACAUAUAAUACAAUGCAUAAAUCUAAAAGCAAAACCUGAAGAAUUUCUGCAUGUGCAUAGUGUUGUAGACUAAAUUGUGUCCUCCCACCCCCUGAAAAGUUAUCUAUUGAAGUCCUGACCUUCAUAACUUGGGAAAAUGGCUGUAUUUGAAGACAAGAUCUUUAAAGAAGUAAAGUAAAAUGAGGCCAUUAGGGUGGGCCCUAAUCCAUUUUACUGAUGUCAUGCACGGAUGCAUGUGUACAGAGGAAAGGCCAUGUGAGGACACGGCGAGAAGACGGCCACCUGCAAGCCAAGGAGAGAGAUCUCAAGAGAGACCAAACCUGCUGGCCCCUGAUCUUACACUUCCAGCUUCCAGAAUUGUAAGAAAGUAAACUUCGGUUGUCCAACCUACCCAGUCUGUGGUAUUUUGUUAUGGUAGCCUGGUCAGACUAAUACACAUAACCUUGUGUAACCAGCACUACGAUUAGGAGCAGAAUAUUUCCAAUAACCCAGCAGCCCCUGCCAUCAUGACCUUCUCAAUCUUGCCCUCUACCCCCAGAAGUAAUCAUUGCUCUGAUCCCUGUUAUCAUCAACUAGUUCUGUCCAUUUCUGAACUUCAUAUAGGUGGAACCAUACAAUAUGUUUCCUUUGUGCCUGGCUUCUUUGACUCAGCAUUCCAUUUCUGAAAUGCAUCUUUCCUAUUGGGUGCAGCCGUCAUUCAUUCUUUUUCUUUGCUGUAUAAUAUUCCACCGUGUGACUUCAUCACAGUUUGUUUAUCCAUUUCCCCAUUGAUACACAUUUUGGUUGUUUCUAUUUUUUAGCUCUUUUGAAUAAAGCUCUUAUGGGCAUUCUUGUGCAAGUCUUCAAUAGCCCUGCACACUCGUUUUUCGAGGGGUAUAUACUCAGGAAUAAAAUUGCUGAGUCACAGCUUAAAUGUAUAUUUAGCUUUAAUUAAUGUUAGAGUUUGUGCUUUAACCUUUCCGC
rnacentral:lncRNA from 1 species